rnacentral:rRNA from 1 species
UACGUAGGGUGCGAGCGUUGUCCGGAAUUAUUGGGCGUAAAGAGCUCGUAGGCGGUCUGUCGCGUCGGUCGUGAAAACUUGGGGCUUAACCCUGAGCUUGCGGUCGAUACGGGCAUGACUGGAGUUCGGCAGGGGAGACUGGAAUUCCUGGUGUAGCGGUGAAAUGCGCAGAUAUCAGGAAGAACACCCGUGGCGAAGGCGGCUCUCUGGGGAACGGUACUGACGCUGAGACGCGAAAAGCGUGGGGGAGCGAAACAGGG